UGAGGCUAAAGGUCUGAGGCUAAAGGUCUGAGGCUAAAGGUCUGAGGCUAAAGCUCUGAGGCUAAAGGUCUGAGGCUAAAGCUCUGAGGCUAAAGGUCUGAGGCUAAAGGUCUGAGGCUAAAGCUGUGGCCUACGUCACAGGAGUUUCCCCGAAGGUCAAAGGUCAUCUCCCUGACGUAGGGAUCUCUUUCUAUCGGGAUAACUCUAACCCGAUUAUAAGGAUAAAGGCAUCAUUGGAAGAGGCAGCGUCGCCCACUCUCCUCUCUUCAAGUCACUCCGAACGCUCGCGAGGAGACAACAAUCUCUUUAAGCUGGUCGGGUGAAGAAAAAGAGAGAGAGAGAGAGGAGGUGGAGCUACAGAAUGAGGAAGAGGAGGUCAGAGAAGGUCAGUCUGGUGAUUCAUACAACACAAAUAUUCAAAGUAGACGCAAAGUACAUCGAACCAAACCGUGAACACGGUGAUGUCAUAAUACUGUUUAGAGGCGGUGAGCGACCGUUUAGUUCUGUGUUGCCACCGGCAACUCCUUCAGAUGCCAACAGACGGGAUUACUAUGCAGUUUUAACUCAGUGCAGUCAGUUUGAAUCCAGUUUAUUUGACACAGCUCAAUAUCACAAAUUACAAACUCCCCUCGGAGGGCUCUACAAUCUGUACGCAGACGACAUCCCUGACCUUUGACCUCACAUCGGAGCAGGAAAAUCUCACAAAAAAUACAGAAAAAAACCCUUCAAAAGUGAAGAAACCUUCAGGAGAGCAGCAGAGGAAGAUCAAUGAAGCGAUACAGAUAACAUACUUCACAUGUGUGUUCAUGUACACACGCCUCUGCACACGCACUUCAGGGGACGACAUUUACACAUUUUUUAGAGGGCAGUUUUUCCCCAAUGACUGAAAUCCAGGGGCAUUAAAAAAAGAAAUUGGGGGCACAUAACAUUUAACCUUUGUUCAACAAUAAAUAAAUAUACUUAAUUAGGCUUACAGUGUAUGAGCAACUGUCGUAAAAAUGGCAAUAAUAAGACUAUUAUGCAAUAAUAAGACUAUUGCAUAAUAAGACUAUUAUGCAAUAAUAAGAAGUAUUUUCUUAGAUUAUUUUUAACAGAAAACCUAAAUCAGACAAUCAUAUUCAAUGUUAUCAUUAUUUCUUUGUGGUUAUUUACUGUUAUUACAUUUUUUAUACAACUAUUAACAUAUUUCUUGAAUUUUUUUUUUUUUACAAAUUAUAUUUAAAUUAUAUAUUUUUCGUGUACCUACCUGGUACCGAAAAUACAGAGAGGACACACACAACAAAAACAAAACGCUAUUAAAUUAUCAGAAUUAUUAGAGGAAAUUACGGGGUUAAUCUUUAGUGACAUCAGGGGCCACAUUAUAUCUCUUAGGGGCAGUUUUGACCUUUGCCCUCGUGAGUUUCCGACGCUGCGGUCGAGUAAUGAGCUUCCUCUCCAUUUUUUUCCUUUCCCCCCCCCUUCAUCCCUCGCUCAUUAUUCCAGAGCGAAGUGUGUCCUCGUCGUAUCUUUUGACGUUAUUAGAAGAUAAUUAUACAGACAGAAUAGAGCCAACUUAAUAAAUAUAUAUUUAUAGAAAGAUGGAAUUUCGAGCUCCGGACAUCCCACCAAACUAAAAACUGAAAUUUAAACUUUAAAGCCUUUUUUUCCUUUCUUUUUUGUUCUCUUUAAUUUCGCUAUAUUUCUACACUAUGCAACACGCGGCGAGGAACACGACCACGCAGUACACGCACGCCGCAGACAGAGGGCGUCUGCGAUCCUCGGUCAAAGGUCAACGUCUUCACCCCCAAAUCCCUCGCCGUCCAAUCGGCAGCCAGAUUUGGCGGAGGCCGAAAGCAGAGCUGUACGGUAUCGACCAAUAAGAGACCCCCGAAGCCACUCGGCGGCCUCCGCGAAGGCAGGAAGCGCGCCUCGCCGAUCCUUUCAUCCGGAAGGAUCUCCAGACGAUCAGCAGCUGCCGGAGAGAAAGACCCACGGCCUCGACCUCCGAGGAAGAACUUCUGAGAACAUCUCGGAGACGACGAGAUGGCGAGCGGCACGGACGUUGUUCUGAUCCGCCGAAAAGAAGAAAGAAGUGCACGUGGAGACAGGGCUGGGUCAUGGUGGCCAUGAUGGAUUUGCAUGAAGAUGGAGUAAAAAACGUUGGAAUAUUGCUUUAUUUCCUAAUUAUCUGAUAGAGAGACAUAUUUUUGCUGAGAUAUAUUCAAAUAUUUGGGAUUUAUGGAAGAUUUUCCACCCUUCAAAUGAAGUCCACGCCCACUUUCUGGAGAAGGGAGUAAAAGAACGAGGGAUUUAUUUACAUGACUGGACGGCCGAGACGUUCAAAACUACGAUUCAAGCUUUAAUAAUGCAAAAAAAAGUGACGAGCGACACCUGCUGAGCACAGGAUGACGUAACCGUGACGAUGAUUUCUUCUGGGAGGCCCCAAAGUGAGAAAGACGUUAUAUUUUACAGAUGGUUUUUACCAAAAAAAAGAGGAAAAAAAGUGUUAUAAAACAUACGCUCACGGAUACAGACGGAGGAGGACGAUGAAACACCCCCCAGACAAUACAUGAGAAAUAUGAACAUCUCAUGAAGAAGAACUGGAUAUUAAAGGUGAAGAUUGCGACAUGCAUGGCUACCAGCAGAUUUCUCUCUUUCCCAUCACUGUCGACCUCGUGGAGUCACACGUUCGCCUCUCCACGAGUCAUUUAUGUCAUAAAAAUAACAGCAUCUGAGGUUUAUUAAUGAAUAUUUUUCGGGGUUUGAAUCUAUAUUUCAUGUUAUUUUUUCUUCCAUAUGUCAUGUUUAUGUUGUAUUUGAUGGAAUUCAUCACGGUUCCUUAUCUUACAAGGACGUUUUGUAAAGAAGGACCUUUUUUUAAUUUGAACUUCUGUAAUAUAUCUUCAAUAAAUUGAUAAGAAUGUGAGAAG